CCUACGGGAGGCAGCAGUGAGGGAUAUUGGUCAAUGGCCGGAAGGCUGAACCAGCCAUGCCGCGUGAAUGUAAGUGCCCUAUGGGCGGUAAACUUCUGUUGUGCGGGAGCAAGAAUGGUGACGUGUGGCCAGGCGAGAGUACCGUACGAAUAAGCAGCGGCUAACUCCGUGCCAGCAGCGGCGGUAAUACGCGGGAUGCAAGCGUGAUCCGGAUUUGUUGGGUGUAAUGGGUGCGCAGGCGGAUUUUUAAGGCAGCGGUAAAAUCGGGGGGCUCAACCCCAUACAGCCGUUGAAACUGGGGAUCUAGAGUGUGCGAGAGGUAUGCGGAAUGCGUGGUGUAGCGGUGAAAUGCAUAGAUAUCAGGCAGAACCCCGAUUGCGAAGGCAGCAUACCGGUGCACAACUGACGCUCAGGCACGAAAGCGUGGGUAUCGAACAGGAUUAGAUACCCCGGUAGUC
rnacentral:rRNA from 1 species